rnacentral:rRNA from 1 species
AGCGGCGGACGGGUGAGUAACGCGUGGGUAACCUGCCUCAUACAGGGGGAUAACAGUUGGAAACGGCCGCUAAUACCGCAUAAGCGCACAGUACCGCAUGGUACCGUGUGAAAAACUCCGGUGGUAUGAGAUGGACCCGCGUCUGAUUAGCUAGUUGGUGGGGUAACGGCCUACCAAGGCGACGAUCAGUAGCCGACCUGAGAGGGUGACCGGCCACAUUGGGACUGAGACACGGCCCAA